rnacentral:rRNA from 1 species
UACGUAGGGUGCGAGCGUUGUCCGGAAUUAUUGGGCGUAAAGAGCUCGUAGGCGGUGUGUCGCGUCGGCCGUGAAAACCUGGGGCUCAACUCUGGGCGUGCGGUCGAUACGGGCAUCACUUGAGUUCGGCAGGGGAGACUGGAAUUCCUGGUGUAGCGGGUGAAAUGCGCAGAUAUCAGGAGGAACACCGGUGGCGAAGG